GUGCUAGUGAAACUGCCCUCAGAGCAGAAAUAAACUGUUGGCUCUCAAGUUUUUCCAGACUAACCGGACUGGCCAAUGCCUGAGGCUCUGUGUUCAAGAUAAAAGUGCCUAAGAAAGAAAAGUGCAGGUAGGCAGUCCCCACUUCUGCAGGGCUGGUGGGCUCUGGGGAUCCUGUCUCAGCCUGCUGAACAGCCCAGAGUGGCUUUAAAAAAAAAAAAAAAGCCUGAACAACCUUUUUUUGCACAUGGGUCACAGUCAAGCUUCUUAAACUUGGAUGACAGUAAACCUAUGACUAACUGGAUAAUUAAAGCCACAAGUCUGGAGGCCUGGGCAGGGCUCUGCUCUGGAAUCUCCGGUGGCCUGUUCCAUAGGCCAGCGUCCCUUGUCCUUCCCAUAGCAGAAAUGCUUUCGUGAGUUGGAAACCCUCUGUGGUGACCUCUACAUCUUCUCAAGGAAGCUGUGGACCGUGUUUAGCCUGUGGCUCUGUGUGCCCCUUGGCUGCUGCUGCUGCUUACUCCUGAGGGUGAAGUUGCUAACAUAAGAAACGAGAGAAAGAAUUGUGCCAUGAAAAAUGGAAAACUCCUGAGAAGCUGUUCCAGCGUCAGGAGAGCAGCAGACAAGCUGGACUGGGGAAGAUUCUUCCUGCAAGACCUGCAGAGUGUAUGACACAUAACCAGCACCCAAGAAAUGUCUACCGAGGAAUUAAUGAAUGAGGGUCCCAUACUUCCUAGCCAUGCUGUUGGCAGGGAUUAACAUCAUUGCAAUUCUCUGGGUAGACCUUGGGAGGUUUAAACCAACCAGUGACCCCUAUCAUCCUAGCUCCAGAGAUUGGCUUAGGGAUAGUCACCCAAUGCAGGCCAAUGCAAGGUGACUUUGCCAGGGGCUUCUGGGAAAGAAGUUUCCUUUCUCUGAGGAAAUGUGAAUGAGGACAUCCAUAACUCAGGUUGUGUCUGGCAGCCAUCUUGUGAUCAUCUGGCAAGACAGCCCAAGAAUAAAGCCGUCACCAUGGAGACUAAGAAGAGACAGAAAGACACUGGGUCUUCAUUGUCUCGUCCAGCUGUUCAUGAGGCCUUAUCUGAAGCCCACGUGACCUCCGGACUACUCACUUACAUGAGAGAAUAAAGCUCUUUUUUGUUUAGACCAAAUAAAUACAUAAUACAAUUA
rnacentral:lncRNA from 1 species